rnacentral:rRNA from 1 species
AUUGAACGCUGGCGGCAGGCCUAACACAUGCAAGUCGAACGGUAACAGGAAACAGCUUGCUGUUUCGCUGACGAGUGGCGGACGGGUGAGUAAUGUCUGGGGAACUGCCUGAUGGAGGGGGAUAACUACUGGAAACGGUAGCUAAUACCGCAUAACGUCGCAAGACCAAAGAGGGGGACCUUCGGGCCUCUUGCCAUCGGAUGUGCCCAGAUGGGAUUAGCUAGUAGGUGGGGUAACGGCUCACCUAGGCGACGAUCCCGAGCUGGUCUGAGAGGAUGACCAGCCACACUGGACCUGAGACACGGUCCAGACUCCUACGGGAGGCAGCAGUGGGGAAUAUUGCACAAUGGGCGCAAGCCUGAUGCAGCCAUGCCGCGUGUAUGAAGAAGGCCUUCGGGUUGUAAAGUACUUUCAGCGGGGAGGAAGGGAGUAAAGUUAAUACCUUUGCUCAUUGACGUUACCCGCAGAAGAAGCACCGGCUAACUCCGUGCCAGCAGCCGCCGUAA